CCUACGGGAGGCAGCAGUAAGGAAUAUUGGACAAUGGACGCAAGUCUGAUCCAGCCAUGCCGCGUGAAGGAUUAAGGCCCUCUGGGUUGUAAACUUCUUUUAUAGGGGACGAAAAAAGGGCUUUCUAGCUCGUCUGACGGUACCCUAUGAAUAAGCACCGGCUAACUCCGUGCCAGCAGCCGCGGUAAUACGGAGGGUGCAAGCGUUAUCCGGAUUCACUGGGUUUAAAGGGUGCGUAGGCGGGCAGUUAAGUCAGUGGUGAAAUCUUCGAGCUCAACUCGGAAACUGCCAUUGAUACUAUCUGUCUUGAAUACUGUGGAGGUGAGCGGAAUAUGUCAUGUAGCGGUGAAAUGCUUAGAUAUGACAUAGAACACCGAUUGCGAAGGCAGCUCGCUACACAAAUAUUGACGCUGAGGCACGAAAGCGUGGGGAUCAAACAGGAUUAGAUACCCUGGUAGUCCACGCCCUAAACUAUGGAUACUCGACAUUUGCGAUACACAGUAAGUGUCUGNGNGAAGANAUAUAUCCACCNCGGAGACGACGCGAGGUAGUAACGUUAAGUAGAGUAGAGACGNGAGAGNGCGACGGACGACGACGAGGGAGGAGG
rnacentral:rRNA from 1 species